GACACAAGGAAGAUCUAAGACAAUUCCAGACAAUUAAUACCAAUAGCCUUGGAUUUUAUAUCAGGAGGGCUUUCUACAUGUAUGUAUACCCAAAAAUGACAUUAAGACCUUUUUACAUAAACUCACUGUAGAAAGGAUCCUUCCUCCCACAGAUUUCAAGUUAAGCUGUCAGUACCCAUGUAGCUGCUCUGGUACAAGUUAAGCUGUGAAAGCCUUCUCCCUCACGCAUACAACCUUAAGUGUCAGAAAUGCUCUGCUUCCUCCAUAAAUCCAAAAUAAUAUAGUCAUGGAUAUGCAUUUCAUACAGGUCAGACUCGGCAAGGACAGCUACGUUCCACAUACAUAUCUGACACAAUCGGUCUCCCCCAAAUACCAUCCAACCAGUCUUAUGUGCUCCUACCUUUCCAGCAUACUCAGAUUUGCCGACAAAGACUUCCUGAGGCACCAUGGUAUGCUGAAUAUACUGCUGCAGUAGUAGUGAAAAUAUGGGAGUUACAGUCCCAACUUUGUCACAAUUUAACAUGU
rnacentral:lncRNA from 1 species